rnacentral:lncRNA from 1 species
AAACGGAUCGACCAGGCUCGAUCUCCCAACCAGACCCGCGUGGCCCCUGCGGCUGCAACGGGUAGCACUUGACGGCCGUCCGCACUUCCUCCUUUGUCUUUCCCUUAUUCCUUACGUUUCUCCCUUGCUCACUCUUCCCUCCUUACCCUAUCGGGGCUGCAGACCCACGGAGGCCACGUUCACUCCUGCCCGUCGGCCUUGGCAAGCGCGGGCCCCUUGUCGCGCAGAGCGGAGGGUCCUGGGAGAUCCUGGGUUGGCCCAGCCACACCUUGCGCCGCCGCCGUUUCUGCUGGACACCAGGAGAAAACCACGGCAGCUGCAGCCACCAACUUCCCCUACAUAGCCCCACGGGAUCGGAUCCCACUCCCCACUCACCGCCAGACCGGAAGCAGGAAGGCGGAAGUCGCGGCCUUUGCGUCCCGCCCACAGGCGACCCGAGCCGCCAGCCGGGCGUGAGUCCAGGCUGGAGCCCGAGACUGCCACGUCCUGCGGGGACCAAGUGGUGGGCGAGGAGGCGUGGAGCGGCUUCAGGACUCGAGGAGCGGUUCCGAAGCAGCUAGGGACUUUUGCCUUUGCCCCCCGAGGUCGAUCGGAAGACAACCCCCAUCCCCUGCUGUAGCGGGACAGUUGGAGGGUCAUGGGUGGGUGAAGUGUUUGGCUGAGGGAAACUCAGACCAAAGAGCAGCGGCAAGAAAGCAGUUGGGUCCCCACAAAACGCCCGAAGUCAAGGUUCUCCAUCAUCUUCCUCCACCUGAUUCGUAGAGACCUCUGGACAUCUGAGCCUAAGCAGGGCCACUAAAUGAGAGAGAAUCCCAUCACUGAAAAGCAACAAUGAAUAUAUUAAGGACCACAGGAGAGAUAGAAGAAAUAUUGCAACUGAAGCUGCUAGAUGGUUAUGAUUAUCUGAAUAGGUGUGAUCUUGACUUUAGCGAAUUAACAGGGAAUGGAAUCUCUCCACGUUGCCCAAGCAGGUCUCCAUGUAGGUGAAAUUAUCUUGGACUCUCCAGACAAGACCAGCCACCAGCUGAAUACCAGUGGGUGACCCCAGUCAAUCACAUGGAACAGAAGAAUCACUCAGCUGAGCCCUGCCAGAAUUCUUGAUCC